rnacentral:rRNA from 1 species
AUUGAACGCUGGCGGCAGGCCUAACACAUGCAAGUCGAGCGGAUGAAGGGAGCUUGCUCCUGGAUUCAGCGGCGGACGGGUGAGUAAUGCCUAGGAAUCUGCCUGGUAGUGGGGGAUAACGUCCGGAAACGGGCGCUAAUACCGCAUACGUCCUGCGGGAGAAAGUGGGGGAUCCUCGGACCUCACGCUAUCAGAUGAGCCUAGGUCGGAUUAGCUAGUUGGUGGGGUAAAGGCCUACCAAGGCGACGAUCCGUAACUGGUCUGAGAGGAUGAUCAGUCACACUGGAACUGAGACACGGUCCAGACUCCUACGGGAGGCAGCGGUGGGGAAUAUUGGACAAUGGGCGAAAGCCUGAUCCAGCCAUGCCGCGUGUGUGAAGAAGGUCUUCGGAUUGUAAAGCACUUUAAGUUGGGAGGAAGGGCAGUAAGUUAAUACCUUGCUGUUUUGACGUUACCAACAGAAUAAGCACCGGCUAACUUCGUG